rnacentral:rRNA from 1 species
AACGAACGCUGGCGGCAUGCCUAACACAUGCAAGUCGAACGAGACCUUCGGGUCUAGUGGCGCACGGGUGCGUAACGCGUGGGAACCUGCCCUUAGGUUCGGAAUAACUCCCCGAAAGGGGUGCUAAUACCGGAUAAUGUCUUCGGACCAAAGAUUUAUCGUCUUUGGAUGGGCCCGCGUUGGGUUAGCUAGUUGGUAGGGUAAAAGCCUACCAGGGCGGCGAUGCAUAGCUGGUCUGAGAGGAUGAUCAGCCACACUGGGAGUGAGACACGGGGGAGACUCGUACGGGAGGACGGAGUGGGGAAUAUGGGAGAAAGGGCGCAAGCCUGAUCCUGACAUACCGCGUGAGUGAAGAAGGCCUUCUGGUUGAAGAGGGCUUUUGUUGGGAAAGAAAAGCAGCAGGUUAAUGCCGCGCUGUUGUGACGGUACCCGAAGAAUAAGCACCGGCUAACUUCGUG